UACCUGAUUGAUUCUGUCAGCGCGAUAUGCUCAAGUAAAAGAUUAAGCCAUGCAUGCUUUGAUUCAUAAAUGAAAUUGCGUACGGCUCAUUAGAGCAGAUAUCACCUUUCUCGGAAUCCUGAAAAGGAUAACUGCGGAAAUUCUGGAGCUAAUACAUGCGACUAUACUCCAAGCAAGGCGGGGUGCAAUUAUUAGAACAGACCAAACGUUUUCGGACGUUGUUUGUUGACUCUGAAUACCGUCGUUUACUGUCAGUUUCGACUGACUCUAUCCGAGAAGGGUGUCUGCCCUUUCAACUAGAUGGUAAUCUAUUGGACUACCAUGGUUGUUACGGGUAACGGAGAAUUAGGGUUCGACUCCGGAGAGGGAGCCUUAGAAACGGCUACCACGUCCAAGGAAGGCAGCAGGCGCGAAACUUAUCCACUGUUGAGUAUGAGAUAGUGACUAAAAAUAUAAAGACUCAUCCUUUUGGAUGAGUUAUUUCAAUGAGUUGAAUAUAAAUUAUUCUUCGAGUAGCAAGGAGAGGGCAAGUCUGGUGCCAGCAGCCGCGGUAAUUCCAGC
rnacentral:ncRNA from 1 species